UUUUAUAUAUAUACUUCAAUAGCUUUUUCAUUUCGUUUUCGAGUGCUUAAAGAUAACGUGAAUGAGUUAUUUCUAUUUUUAUACAUUACCUUAUUGUAUAUAACACAGGGAAUAAUAUUAAACAGAAUUACUAAUAGAAGAAUUUCAGAGAAAAUGUUCAAAGAAGUCUCCUUAUUGCUCAAUAGCCAUUUCUUCUAGUCAUUUUUAGUGUUAUUAUUUAAAAAAAAAAUAAGCUGAAGCGUACAUAUUGUACUAAUGCAUGCAUACAAGACACUGAGAUAAUUAGAUAA
rnacentral:misc_RNA from 1 species